ACCUGGGUGGCUCAGUUGGUUAAGCAUCUGACUCUUGGUUUCAGCUCAGGUCACAAUCUCACAGUUUCAUGGGUUCAAGCCCCUUCUCAGGCU
rnacentral:tRNA from 1 species